GGGGCUGAUUCUGGAUUCGACGGGAUUUGCGAAACCCAAGGUGCAUGCCGAGGGGCGGUUGGCCUCGUAAAAAGCCGCAAAAAAUAGUCGCAAACGACGAAAACUACGCUUUAGCAGCUUAAUAACCUGCUUAGAGCCCUCUCUCCCUAGCCUCCGCUCUUAGGACGGGGAUCAAGAGAGGUCAAACCCAAAAGAGAUCGCGUGGAAGCCCUGCCUGGGGUUGAAGCGUUAAAACUUAAUCAGGCUAGUUUGUUAGUGGCGUGUCCGUCCGCAGCUGGCAAGCGAAUGUAAAGACUGA
rnacentral:tmRNA from 1 species